UUCUUAGUCUGCUGCUGAGCUGCCAUGUAAUAAGACUUGCAUCUGUGGCAGAGAUGUAUUCAAGGCACUAAAUUAUUUCUGCAAUUAUUAGAUGCCUUUAUCAGCUUUGGUUAGGCAUUUAAUCAGCCACAAAAGCUGUUUAUUGCCUCAUAAACUCCUCUGCAGCGAACAUCCAUUAAUUAAUCCCUGAAAAUUACAAAGGGUGAUGAGGUAACCUGUUUCUCACACCAGCCUUAAUUGGGUGGCCUAGGAGAGUUUGUUGCUGUUUUCCCUUUGAUUUUGUGUUUAGACAGUUGUCAGCUGGCCCAGUCAGAGAGCUUGUUAGGACAGGUAGGAGGAAUUUAGCAGCAUGGCACAGGUAACAAAUACCAGCCAAAUCACUGAGCUGUGAGAAUUACUCACAGCUGAGAAACUUGGGAGGUGAGUUGAAGUUAAACCCAAAUUUAACUCGCAUUAGAAUUGGAAGGACAAUUUGAACAGCAUGUGGCUUUAGAACUAAAUGAUGUUACAGAGUCAUUAAAAGAUUGGAGACAGCUGCUAAUUAGGACUGUUUGAAGCUGAGGACACAGUGACAAAAGCCGAUCUUCUCUUGCAUACUGAAAUGUUUCAAAUGUAUACUUGCUUCAUAUAUCAUGACUUUUUGUAUAUCAGCACUUAUAGAAAUUCAAAGCAGCUGAAAAGCAUCGAGAUCCAUCUUUGACUAGAACAACUCAAUACCUUAGAAAUCCCCUGGAAUAUGUUUUAUAGUAUGGAUGCAAGGUUUUUUACGGCAUGAGUGCAAAGUUUUGCUGUUUCCACACAUACCCCAAUCCAUACUUCCACCAGAAUCAGAUGUUAGUUGUAAACUACAGUGGUUCACAAAAUAAUAAAAAUAUUAAGUGUCAUGUUUUCAAACUUUUAUCUGGCCAUAAGAGGGCUGAAAUUAUAGCUGGAAAUUCAAAGACCUUGUGUACACUUGUUGAUUCCAGCUGAGAGCUUUACUGGGGAGGGAAGGGGAGCAAGAAACAUUCCCCUAAAUAUUUGGGAGUUGGCAGUGCUGAGUCCUACCUCAUUGCUUCUCAUGGAUGACUGCUAAAAAUUACUGUGGAAUUGCCAGUGCCUGCGGGGAAACGUGAUAUGAAGAAAGAAGAUAUUUUCAUAUAUUUGUCCAGACUGGUCGGAUCAGAACAACUUGAAGAAUAGAAACAAUCCAGCAGUGACCUCACCAUAUCGACCUUAGAACUUGUCAAGAUAAAGAGAAGCUGAGAGCUAUUUGAACAGUCUUCUGCAUCGCUGAACUCGGCCUCAUCCCACCACAAAGUCUUUUAUGAGAAGGAAGCUGAAGUUGUUGGAAUAAAUGUUCCAUGCGAUUUUACUUACCCGUUUAUCAAUGUCAUUAUGUUGGAGCUGGACAAAUCGAGCACUGAUAGCAGCAAUAUAGCUCUGCUGAUUGGAGAAAGCCACUCUGCCA